AGAGUUUGAUCCUGGCUCAGGAUGAACGCUAGCUACAGGCUUAACAUAUGCAAGUCGAGGGGAAACGACAUCGAAAGCUUGCUUUUGAUGGUCGUCGACCGGCGCACGGGUGAGUAACGCGUAUCCAACCUGCCCAUCACUUGGGGAUAACCUUGCGAAAGUAAGACUAAUACCCAAUGAUAUCUCUAGAAGACAUCUGAAAGAGAUUAAAGAUUUAUCGGUGAUGGAUGGGGAUGCGUCUGAUUAGCUAGUUGGCAGGGCAACGGCCUACCAAGGCGACGAUCAGUAGCCGACCUGAGAGGGCGACCGGCCACAUUGGGACUGAGACACGGCCCAAACUCCUACGGGAGGCAGCA
rnacentral:rRNA from 1 species